CCGAAUGUCAACCAACCGAGAUUACACAAUCUUCGAUAUGGUCACCAAAUGUUUUGGGACUGUCAUUUAUGUUAUGCCUACACUUUGGAAUUAGAUCAGAGUCUUGUUGUUACACAGGUAUAUUUGAUUUACCUCAACUGUACCCUGUACUUAACUUUACUCGGUCUACUCAAGCAGAUACAGGGGGCAUGAGAACCCAGUGCGUAUCACAAAAGCCACCACAACGGCUCCUUGGGAUAUGCAUAUGAAUUUAAAUACUACCAGGCUGGCCGCACCGACCGCAGUGAAUCCCGGGCACUGGCGACCAAAAAACUCAUCUAGCACCUUUAGCUACUUUUUGGUGCAUCUGGCGACUUUUUAAAAAGUGCAUUUUCAGUGACAAAUUCAUCAUUUUUCCACAUAAUUCUGACUCUGCGCUGCCGUCAGAAGCGUUUCCCACGGUUAAGCAGGGCUGCAGAUUAGCUCUGAUCUCCAAAAAGUAGCUAGCACCGCCCAUUUGUACUGUGGACGAAGGCAUGUGGGCACGUUUUCUGUAGAUCAGCGCGCCGUGCGUGACAUUGUGACGUCAUACGUAACGUCAUGACGUCAUCUAGCGACCUCUAGCGACUUUUCAGCAAGCCCAUAGCGACUUUGGCUGAUUUUCUUUUGGCAACACUGGCCCCGCCCCGGUGGCGGUAAGCCGCAAGGUGUUUGACGUGCUCAAAAGGUGGCUGGCAGGGCGUGUUAGAAUGGCAGGAUGGCAGGGGCCAUUUGUAUUUUCAGGACGGUCCAACGGCCGCGCUCCCGCCCUGCUCGAAUUCUUCCGCCUCGUGUGGACGGAGCUGGGCCUCCCCGGCACCCCACCGACCUUCCGGGCCUUGAGGGACUCCCUCGCAACCCAUGUGAGUACAAGGACGCUAGCAUGCAGGUAUUACUGAAUGUAUGUAUUUUUAAUGGCUGUAUGUAUGUAUGUAUGUAUGCUCCAUCUCUUAGGCUGUGAAGAGAGUGGACCCGAACGAGCAGCCGAAAAUGGCUCGGCAAAUGUGCCAUGAACUGUCAACGAACCGCCGUUUUUACCAGGGGUUCAACGACACCGACGAGGUCCUUCACAUACGAAAGAUUUUCAUGGCGCAGAUGUUGAGGCCGGAGGAAAUGGCCCAGCUCGAAGAGAAAAUCGAGCUCCCGACGCCCCAGGACCCUCGCCCGGGAGCACACAGUUGGCAGUCCUGGACCAUAAUGAAAAUGUUGGCAGACGACCGGCUACCACUAAAGACGGUGAACUCCGUUGGAAGUACCCAUACUCAAGACAGUCUGGGGACUGGGUGUCAAAGCCCAUCUAUGAGAAGACUACACAGAGCUUCAGGAAGGACCUAAUGGAGCGCGUGCUGGAGAUGAGGGAUGACCCUACCAUAGUGUACACUGAGCGCUACAAGACCCCCCAUGGCAGAAGACUCCUCCAAAACAUCGCUCCGGUGCAGAGGCCUGAGAAAAGUCUAUUAGUGGCUAGACGAAGCAGCCGUUUUGGCAGUCACAGAACCAAGCCCUACUAGUCUAGCAAAGAUUUCUUGGAUAUGGCCUAAUGACGCCAUAGUAACAAGGCCACUUCAACUCAAGAACACUAUUUCUUAUUAUUUUCUUUGCUGUCAUUACGCCUACUGAAAGAUGUACCACAAUGACAUUUCAAAUAAAAUUCACAUACAAACUG